GAUGAACGCUGGCGGCGUGCUUAAUACAUGCAAGUCGAACGGACGGACGGGGAUCUUGCUUCUCUGAUUUUGGCGGCGGAGGGGUGAGGCAAACGGGGGUAUCCUACCUAUGAGACUUGCAUAACUUCGCGGAACCACAGCUAGAACCGGAUAAUAUUUUGAACCGCAUGGUGCAAAAUUGAAAGACGGUCUUGCUGACGCUUGUAGAGGUUGCCGUGUUGGAUUGGCGAGGUGGUAAGGUAACGGCUUACCAUGGCUACGAUGCAUAGCUGACCUGAGAGGGGGAUCGGCGACACAGGAACUGAGACACGGUCCAGACACCUACGGGAGGCAGAAGAGUGGAAUAUUCCGCAAAGGGGGAGAGCGUGAGGGAGAAACGCCGCGUGAGUGAUGAAGGUGUCCGGAUCGUAAAAACCUCUUAUUAGAGAAGAAAAGAUGUGGAAGUAAUUGUGCAGAUCUUGACGGUACCUAAACAGAAAGCCACGGCUAACUACGUG
rnacentral:rRNA from 1 species